CUGCACGAUGGGAAUGGAGCUUCCCGAAACCUCCCUGCGAAGGGCUGAUGGCUCCUGCCUUGGU
rnacentral:ncRNA from 20 species